AAAGGGGCUUCGGCCCUGAGUAGAGUGGCGAACGGGUGAGUAACACGUGGGUGACCUACCUUCGAAUGGGGGAUAACGUUCCGAAAGGGACGCUAAUACCGCAUAACAUCCUGCCUUUGAACAGGUGGAGAUCAAAGCCGGGGAUCGCAAGACCUGGCGUUUGAAGAGGGGCCCGCGUCCGAUUAGCUAGUUGGUGAGGUAAUGGCUCACCAAGGCAACGAUCGGUAGCCGGCCUGAGGGGGCGGACGGCCACACUGGGACUGAGACACGGCCCAGACUCCUACGGGAGGCAGCAGUGGGGAAUUGUUCGCAAUGGGCGCAAGCCUGACGACGCAAUGCCGCGUGGAGGAUGAAGGUCUUCGGAUUGUAAACUCCUGUUGCCCGGGACGAACGUCUCCGACCUAACACGUCGGAGAGUGACGGUACCGGGUGAGGAAGCCCCGGCUAACUCUGUGCCAGCAGCCGCGGUAAUACAGAGGGGGCAAGCGUUGUUCGGAAUUACUGGGCGUAAAGGGCGCGUAGGCGGCCUGCUAAGUCGAACGUGAAAUCCCCGGGCUCAACCCGGGAACUGCGUUCGAUACUGGUAGGCUUGAAUUCGGGAGAGGGAUGCGGAAUUCCAGGUGUAGCGGUGAAAUGCGUAGAUAUCUGGAGGAACACCGGUGGCGAAGGCGGCAUCCUGGACCGACAUUGACGCUGAGGCGCGAAAGCCAGGGGAGCAAACGGGAUUAGAUACCCCGGUAGUCCUGGCCCUAAACGAUGAAUGCUUGGUGUGGCGGGUAUCGAUCCCUGCUGUG
rnacentral:rRNA from 1 species